UCAAGAGCCUUGGUNCAUUCGGGAACUCUGAGACAGGUGCUGCAUGGUUGUCGUCAGCUCGUGUUGUGAAAUGUUGGGUUAAGUCCCGCAACGAGCGCAACCCUUAUCCUUUGUUGCCAGCGGUCCGGCCGGGAACUCAAAGGAGACUGCCAGUGAUAAACUGGAGGAAGGUGGGGAUGACGUCAAGUCAUCAUGGCCCUUACGAGUAGGGCUACACACGUGCUACAAUGGCGCAUACAAAGAGAAGCGAACUCGCGAGAGCAAGCGGACCUCAUAAAGUGCGUCGUAGUCCGGAUUGGAGUCUGCAACUCGACUCCAUGAAGUCGGAAUCGCUAGUAAUCGUAGAUCAGAAUGCUACGGUGAAUACGUUCCCGGG
rnacentral:rRNA from 1 species